rnacentral:rRNA from 1 species
AUCAGGAAGAACACAGAUGGCGAAACCGGCCUGAUGGCGCGCGACGGACCCUGAAGGACGAAAGCGCGGGUAUCAAACAGGAUUAGAAACCUUGGUAGUACACGCGGUAAACGGUGCAGAACCGAUGCGGGGGGUUUUCCCACCGUGUACCAACCCUACGCGUUAAGUUUACCGCCUGGGGAAUAACGCUAGCAAGGUUAAGACUCAGAGCCACUGACGGGGGCCCGCACAAGCGGUGGAGCAUGAGGCACAAUUAGAGGCCACGCGAAGAGCCCUACCCGCGCGUGACAUAUAUCCGCCCGUCCGUGAAAGCGGACCUACCCGCCGGGGACUGAUAUACAGCUUCUGCAUGGCUAUCGUCAGCUCGUACAGUGAGGUGUUCGGUUGACUCCGGCAACGAGCGCAACCCGUAUUGUCAGUUGUCCAUCAGCUCAUGAAGGACAUCUCUGGCGAGGCCGCCCGUGUCAAUCGGGAGGAAGGCUCGGAUGACAGUCAAGUCCGUAAGGCUCUACGGCCCGGGACUGGACAUGUGCUACAGUGGCCGGUACAGUGGGAAGCGAAGCCAUCAGCCGGAACGAAUUCCGAAAACCGUCCACACUUCAACUCGGACUCCCAUAUUCAACUCCCUAAGUCGGA